GCGCCGCCUUUGAGCCGCCCCACCCCCACCCUACCACCCCAGUAGUGCUGGGGAUUAAGCUGUGGCGCCAUAGCACUUUGCUGGCGCAUAACUGGGGCCCGCCUGCCCUUCGCAGGAGACCCUUUUAACUGCUAGCUACAGGC